UACAGAGGGGGCAAGCGUUAUUCGGAAUUAUUGGGCGUAAAGGGCGCGUAGGCGGCUUUUCAAGUGACGGGUGAAAUCCCUCGGCUUAACCGAGGAACUGCCUGUCAGACUGGAAGGCUUGAGACCGGGAGAGGUGAGUGGAAUUCCCAGUGUAGCGGUGAAAUGCGUAGAUAUUGGGAGGAACACCAGUGGCGAAGGCGGCUCACUGGACCGGAACUGACGCUGAGACGCGAAAGCGUGGGGAGCGAACAGG
rnacentral:rRNA from 1 species